rnacentral:rRNA from 1 species
GUAAGUUUGGUGUGAAAUCUCCCGGCUUAACUGGGAGGGUGCGCCGAAGACUGCGAUGCUGGAGUAUGGGAGAGGAAAGCGGAAUUCCUGGUGUAGCGGUGAAAUGCGUAGAUAUCAGGAGGAACACCUGCGGUGUAGACGGCUUUCUGGACCAUUACUGACACUGAGACACGAAAGCGUGGGUAGCAAACAGGAUUAGAUACCCUGGUAGUCCACGCCCUAAACGAUGCAUACUUGGUGUGAGCCAUUCAGUUGGUUCGUGCCGGAGCUAACGCGUUAAGUAUGCCGCCUGGGGAGUACGGUCCCAAGGCUGAAACUCAAAGGAAUUGACGGGGGCCCGCACAAGCGGUGGAGCAUGUGGUUCAAUUCGACGCAACGCGAAGAACCUUACCUGGGCUCGAACGGCUUCUCAACGUUCGUGGAAACACGGAUAUCCCGCAAGGGAGUGGAGUCGAGGUGCUGCAUGGCUGUCGUCAGCUCGUGUCGUGAGAUGUUGGGUUAAGUCCCGCAACGAGCGCAACCCUUGCCCUGUUUUGCCAUCAUUAAGUUGGGAACUAUCAGGGGACCGCCAGCGAUAAGUUGGAGGAAGGUGGGGAUGACGUCAAGUCAUCAUGGCCUUUAUGUCCAGGGCUACACACGUGCUACAAUGGACGGUACAAAGCGCUGCGAAGCCGCGAGGUGGAGCUAAUCGCAAAAAACCGUUCUCAGUUCGGAUCGCAGGCUGCAACUCGCCUGCGUGAAGCUGGAAUCGCUAGUAAUGGCAGAUCAGCAUGCUGCCGUGAAUACGUUCCCGGGCCUUGUACACACCGCCCGUCACAUCACGAAAGUGGGUUGUACUAGAAGUCUGUCCGCUAACCCGCAAGGGAGGCGACGGCCCAGUUAUC